rnacentral:rRNA from 1 species
GAUGAACGCUGGCGGCGUGCCUAACGCAUGCAAGUCGAGCGAUUCUCUUCGGAGAAGAGCGGCGGACGGGUGAGUAACGCGUGGGUAACCUGCCCUGUACACACGGAUAACAUACCGAAAGGUAUGCUAAUACGAGAUGAUAUAUAAAAGUUGCAUGACUUUUAUAUCAAAGCUUUUGCGGUACAGGAUGGACCCGCGUCUGAUUAGCUAGUUGGUAAGGUAACGGCUUACCAAGGCGACGAUCAGUAGCCGACCUGAGAGGGUGAUCGGCCACACUGGAACUGAGACACGGUCCAGACUCCUACGGGAGGCAGCAGUGGGGAAUAUUGCACAAUGGGCGAAAGCCUGAUGCAGCAACGCCGCGUGAGCGAUGAAGGCCUUCGGGUCGUAAAGCUCUGUCCUCAAGGAAGAUAAUGACGGUACUUGAGGAGGAAGCCCCGGCUAACUACGUGCCAGCAGCCGCGGUAAUACGUAGGGGGCUAGCGUUAUCCGGAAUUACUGGGCGUAAAGGGUGCGUAGGCGGUCUUUCAAGCCAGAAGUGAAAGGCUACGGCUCAACCGUAGUAAGCUUUUGGAACUGUAGGACUUGAGUGCAGGAGAGGAGAGUGGAAUUCCUAGUGUAGCGGUGAAAUGCGUAGAUAUUAGGAGGAACACCAGUAGCGAAGGCGGCUCUCUGGACUGUAACUGACGCUGAGGCACGAAAGCGUGGGGAGCAAACAGGAUUAGAUACCCUGGUAGUCCACGCCGUAAAACGAUGAGUACUAGGUGUCGGGGGUUACCCCCCUCGGUGCCGCAGCUAACGCAUUAAGUACUCCGCCUGGGAAGUACGCUCGCAAGAGUGAAACUCAAAGGAAUUGACGGGGACCCGGCACAAGUAGCGGAGCAUGUGGUUUAAUUCGAAGCAACGCGAAGAACCUUACCUAAGCUUGACAUCCCAUUGACCUCUCCCUAAUCGGAGAUUUCCCUUCGGGGACAGUGGUGACAGGUGGUGCAUGGUUGUCGUCAGCUCGUGUCGUGAGAUGUUGGGUUAAGUCCCGCAACGAGCGCAACCCUUGCCUUUAGUUGCCAGCAUUAAGUUGGGCACUCUAGAGGGACUGCCGAGGAUAACUCGGAGGAAGGUGGGGAUGACGUCAAAUCAUCAUGCCCCUUAUGCUUAAGGCUACACACGUGCUACAAUGGGUGGUACAGAGGGUUGCCAAACCGUGAGGUGGAGCUAAUCCCUUAAAGCCAUUCUCAGUUCGGAUUGUAGGCUGAAACUCGCCUACAUGAAGCUGGAGUUACUAGUAAUCGCAGAUCAGAAUGCUGCGGUGAAUGCGUUCCCGGGUCU